AAAAAGUCUGCCAUAAAAGAAAUUGCACAAUUUAUGGCUAACAUACCAUUAAUAUCCUAGGAUGAUUCACAACCAAAUAAACAUUUUUGCUUCCCUAGCCUAGUCUAAGAGGUUCAUUCUGCUUAAAAAUUUGUAAAUGCAGCAUAUUACAAAAGAAUUGCAAAAAUAAAAUAAAAUUAAUGAAUCCACCUUCUAUAGAAAGUUUUGAACAAAAUUCCAUAUCAAACAUCUCCUGAUUGUUAGUUGCUUUCACUAUGUUAGUGGACAUCCAAUAAAAUUGGAAGUAUACUUGCUUUCACAAUGUCAAUGCUUUCUGAAGUUGUAAAAGCCACACUGCUAUGUGCAUUACGCAAACCCGGCCUUCCAACAAGAUCUUCUGUAUCCAAAAAUUGAUCCAAGAUAAUAAUGAUCUCUUUUGCAACAACAUAGACUCAAGAACCGCUUCAGAUGAAACCCUUCCAAUGAUUAAGAAUGACUCAAGAGAAGGCCCUUGAAUCAAUGACCCAUUAACUGCUCGUAAGCAGUCGUUCGUCUUGAGCAUUAGAAGAAUAACCCGGGGCAAUCUCCUCAGAAGUUCAGUGAUUUGUGGAAAAUAUUGAGAAGCAUACAUCUGCAAUUCUGAACGGUCACCGUCUGUGCCUUUGACAACAAGAUGAUCAACUGAAGAAUCUAUCACUUUAUUCCAAGGCCUCAUUGUGAGAAUCCCAGCAAACAAUGCGUAAAGAUCGUCUCCAGCACCCAGUUUUACACAGUUUUCCUUUAUCCCAUCUGCAUCAGAAUAUACCAAAGCCUUCCACAGUGCAGCAUAGUUUAUUCUGGUAUUGUAAUCAAGUUCUUUGUAUAA
rnacentral:misc_RNA from 1 species